CGUCUCGAUGCGGUUUGUUUUGUCUGAUUGGAUUUAAUGGUGUACGGUGUCAAAAAGUGGAUAUAAUCUAUAGAUAAAUGUGUGUAGCAAACAAAAACAAAUGUCAAUUAGAAUUUGACCAAGGCUUAACGCCGCCCAAGAAAGCUAAUACAAAAAAUAUUUUAUUUUCCCUUAGUACAAGUGAUAUAGCUAAAAAAUUGUUUUGAAAAAAUUGGGCAAUAAGUUGAAUUGUGUAAUUUUAGAAACGUCUGGUGCACAACAUAUUCGAGUGUAGCGUAAAAAGAGCGGACACAGACGAAGUUGCAGAGCAAGAGCGUACACCUAGUGGGAGCAGCGCACGAUACUAGAGAUCCAUUUUCAAAUACUUAUAUCAACUACGCCCCUUGCCGCACGCAGCUACUAAAUAUACGAUGUAGCCAUCGGUGGCAUUAAGAAACGACUGUCAAAUCCACUAAAGGAAAUAUAACUACACAUCUAAGUUGCAGGAAGUCACGUUUCGUUCAACAAUUACACAAAAUACAAAAUGCACGUGUAAAUAUACAUAGUACAUAUGUAAAUACUUUAAAAGCCGUCACGCUGUCGCCAAACUCCCAAUUAAGGAAAACAGUACGGUUUGUAUUUUGGUGAACAAAUUUUAACGCAAAGGUACACCAAACAACUGCCAUCGAGAGAGUAAAAUAGUGAAGUGUAAAAAGUGAAACGUUAAGUCUGUAAAUUAUAUGUAUGCAUGUAUGUACAUAUGUACAUGACACAACAUAUAAAUCUUGGUUGAGCUGCUUUCCUUAAAAGCGUCCGGCGUAGUUAUAGCACACCCAUCUGUACAUACCAAACUACUGAAACGAACGAAAGUGAAAAUCUACCAAAUUCAUGCUGCACAUUCAACGGAAGCAGUAAAUCUUUCUACACAAGGUG